rfam:Gossypium raimondii chromosome 4, whole genome shotgun sequence.
GAUAAUAGGUUGAUCUUUCCCAAGAAUUCACAUUGACGGGAAGGUUUGGCACCUCGAUGUCGGCUCUUCGCCACCUGGGGCUGUAGUAUGUUCCAAGGGUUGGGCUAUUCGCUAGAGGUGUUCAUGGGCCGGGUGACCCGACCCAGCCCGACGGUC